UCUUCCCAAGUUAUUUUCUAACUGUGAACUUCCCAGUCUAUGCUCUCUGCCUUUACUGUUGGCUUUUUUUUUUCCUUCUGAAAAGCUAUGGUGCUCUUCAUCCUCAACAUUAAAGCAGGGGAUGUACAAGUAAUACCCUUUACUAGUUUGAUAUCCCUCCUAGCAAAACACUCUGGUGGUUCUUUUAUGAUUUCAGGGUGGCAGCACUUGUUUCCAAAAAUGUAGAUACAACAGGACCAUCUGUGUUUGCCAUCUGCAAUACAUUUCUUUCUAGGAUCCCAGGGUUAGUUAUGGGGCUUCCAGACAUUCCUACUGCCUCUCCCCUGAGUACAAAGGAGACAACAGGUGUUUUCUACUGAGAAAUUAUAAAAUUUUCUACAUUCACUGCCCCCCUUUCCAUCUUUUCAGACUGGCCCAAUUCUGAAAAUAUUAUGGAUUUUUGUCUCUUUAAAGGAGUACACCUUGUGGAUGUGACAAGUAGAUAGAG